ACCUAGCUGGCUCAAUCAGUAGAGUGUGGAACUCUUGAUCUCAGGGUCAUGAGUUCAAGCCCCAUGUUGGAUG
rnacentral:tRNA from 1 species